AACCUCCCGGGCCACCCGGCCUGCGGCGGAAUGUUGCGUAAAGGGAAAGGUCGUAGUCAAACCCCACAGCCACGCGAACUCUAAGUCAGCCACGAAUAGGCUAUCCCAACUAACGGCGGGAAAGACUCCACGGAGGGUGUAAGACCCGUGUGGGCGCGUGUCAAAGCUGUGCGGGCUCGGCCUCUUUUCCCUGAGAGUCGCGUUGCUUGAGCAUGCAGCGCUAAGCAGGUCGUAAACUCGAUCUAAGGCUAAAUAUCUCCACAGAACCGAUAGCGAACAAGUACCGUGAGGGAAAGUUGAAAAGCACUCUGGAGAGAGAGUCAAAAGACCGUGAAACCGCUCAGAGUAUAAGCCCAUGGCAGCUUGGAAGGCAUAUCGCUAGCGGGGCAUCGGUCUUCCUUCGCGGGGAGCUGGUGUUACCUUGCUUCUGUUGUGGCUCGUCAUGGUAGGGGGGUCAAGUCCACAUCCCGCCAACGUGUGGGGAGUUCUCGGGCGUGUUGUUGUCUCUCGGUCGACUUCGGUUGGUCGUUGGGCUCUUCGCGCUUGGUUCUUCUUCAACACGGACGUUCAGACUCAAAGGCAAGACGCGAUAACCAGCCCACCACGGCACGUUGUGAGGUCACCCACAGGCUCAACUUUCGAUUGUGGUCCUUGACGCCGAGCAAGCACAAUGCGUGUCGCAA
rnacentral:rRNA from 1 species